UGAUAAUAUUCUUCUUUCCCCUAUCCCUUUACUCAGAGCCAAACUAAACACAAAGAAUAUUUUCUUAUUUUUGUUUUUAAUGAAUUUCUACAACAUUGCUUCCUAUUAGCAUGAACAAUUUUAAAUGUACUGUAAAAAUAGUAAUUAUGAAAGUUUUGAGGAGGUUGGAUUAGGGAUUGUGCAAUUUGGUGAAUGGGAGGGAUUAUUGGGAAAAUUCUUGAGAAUGAAGACUUCUUUAACAGGCUCUCUUUCUCUUCUGUAGUAAAAUAAUUACACUUAUAGAUAUGCCUAGAUCAUAAGUCAUGACAUUUCAGAAAAAGUAUGAAAAAAGUUUUAGCUUGUGGAUAAUUCCCAUCCUGCUUAUCAACCCCGAUCAGUUUCAGAAUCUCUCCAAUCUCCCACAGAUACAUACAGAACCUAUACCCUAGAGGGAGAUUCUACUCUCAGUGGAACCUAGUACACAAGAUCCAGGUUCUUAGACCAGGAGCAAGAGACACACAUUCAUGACCUAAGAAAGGAAAGAACUGGUUGCCAGGUGCAGGGGAUGGUGCUUCUCAUAAAAGACAAUUCUCCUACAAUUUCACCCACCAUUUACUCUGAAAGAAAUACCCAAUUUGGCUAGAGAGGUGGUUUUUAAAGAUAACUAGGAAGAUGCAUGGGAAAGUACAUCGUCAGCUAAUUAGCUACUGGAUUCUGUAACUGUGAUAGUGCCCAGUUGACACAGAAUGACUUUGGAUGAUGUGUGACUGGGGGUUCUCAUCACCCAAGAUUGUAAGACUAUGGAGUUUAUAGAUACUAAAUCAGGCAAAAGCUGGAACUAUGAAGAAAAACCAUCCCAGACAAUCCUUCGGAAUAAGGAUAAAUUAUCUACUAAAGGGAAAAAAGUACAUUCUUGUAAAACUAUUAAAAGGAAAAAAAAAUCUUUGAUGAAAAGUGAAAAAAGGCUGGUAUCUGUACCUAAAAUUCCAGUUACUCAACUGCUCUCUCUUAUUCCUGGACAAAAAGUGGCUGAGAGUGCUCCAGCUAAGCCUCAUAUUGAAGUAUGGAUUCUUCCCCUCAGAAAGGACCCUCAAGAAUUGACAAGAAUCAAAUCAAGGGAAACUCAAGGAAGUGAAGAUGACCAAACAGAAAUUAUCAGUUGGCAUGCAGAGGAUGAUGCUGAAAAGAAAAUUUCUUUGCCUGACCUGUUUCCAAGCCAAGUUAAUCUAAUUAAUGAGGAAAUAGUUGGUGAGUCUCAAGGCCAAAGAAAGGCAGAUUUGGAAAGGCAAGAUAUUCAGCAUGGUACAAUUACCAAAACAAUGGGUGAGUUUGAAGGCCAAAGCCUUUUGCCAGAGUGGAAAGAUCAAGAUAGUCAACCUAGUACAACUAGUACCAAGAAAAUGGGUGAGUUUGAAGGCCAAAGCCUUUUGCCAGAGUGGAAAGAUCAAGAUAGUCAACCUAGCACAAGUAGUACUGAUAAAAAAGAACAAGAAGAACCUUCAGGAAUUUCAGAUGUGAUUCCCUCAAUUACAAGUCUAAUUAAACAAUUAGACUUAGACAGAGUAGUUGAGAUAAGCAUAGCUGAUUUAUUAAAGGACACAAAAGAAGUCAGUUUUACUCCAGCACGGGCAGAUGUUUCAACAAAAACUGUGCCUUUCUCAAAGCUUUUUCAACAAAAUAAAAUAUCUGGUUUACUAAAGGACAAAAAAGACGGUGCAAAAUUAACACAGAUGGAUGUGUCCCAAGAGCCUUUUCCACCAAGAAAGAAAUUUGAAAAGGGAAGUGAAUUACCAUCCAAAUUACAGUCAGCCAGAGAUAUUUUACUCCCGUGAACAAUUCCUUCAGUAGAAAAAAGGAGAUAUAUUCAGGAUCACAUUUUAUUUCCAGGAAAAAACUUCAUGCCACAAAAGACAAUGCUACAAUUGAGAAAAUAUUUAAAUGAUGUCAUUCUUCUAUGUAGUUUACGUCAUCAGAUUUGUUGUACUUUGAGGAAGUAUAAAAUAUUAAAAUCUAUUGGGUGUAAUUGUGAAAUAAGAUCUAUGAAAAUUUAUUUUGGGAAAUGCCACUAUUUUCAGUGUCAAAUUAUCAAUCAAAUGAAACUUGUAUUCUUAGGAGUAAUUAUCAAAAAAAUUUUCAAAUUUUGAAAAUAUAAGAGGGAAAUACACAAAUUAGAAGCCCA
rnacentral:lncRNA from 1 species